GAUGAACGCUAGCGGCAGGCUUAAUACAUGCAAGUCGAGGGGCAGCAUGAGUGUAGCAAUACAUUUGAUGGCGACCGGCAAACGGGUGCGGAACACGUACACAACCUUCCUAUAAGUGGGGAAUAGCCCAGAGAAAUUUGGAUUAAUACCCCGUAACAUAAUGAUGUGGCAUCACAUUAUUAUUAUAGCUUCGGCGCUUAUUGAUGGGUCUGCGGCUGAUUAGAUAGUUGGCGGGGUAACGGCCCACCAAGUCCACGAUCAGUAGCUGAUGUGAGAGCAUGAUCAGCCACACGGGCACUGAGACACGGGCCCGACUCCUACGGGAGGCAGCAGUAAUGAAUAUUGGUCAAUGGACGCAAGUCUGAACCAGCCAUGCCGCGUGAAGGAUUAAGGUCCUCUGGAUUGUAAACUUCUUUUAUCUGGGACGAAAAAAGGCUAUUCUUAGUCACUUGACGGUACCAGAUGAAUAAGCACCGGCUAACUCCGUGCCAGCCGCCGCGGUAAUAC
rnacentral:rRNA from 1 species